rnacentral:rRNA from 1 species
UACGGGGGGAGCAAGCGUUGUUCGGAUUUACUGGGCGUAAAGGGCGCGUAGGCGGCCACGACAAGUCACUUGUGAAAUCUCCGGGCUUAACUCGGAACGGUCAAGUGAUACUGUCGGGCUAGAGUACAGAAGGGGCAACCGGAAUUCUUGGUGUAGCGGUGAAAUGCGUAGAUAUCAAGAGGAACACCUGAGGUGAAGACGGGUUGCUGGGCUGACACUGACGCUGAGGCGCGAAAGCUAGGGUAGCAAACGGG